UACGGAAGGCAGCAGUGGGGAAUAUUGCACAAUGGGCGCAAGCCUGAUGCAGCCAUGCCGCGUGUAUGAAAAAGGCCUUCGGGUUGUAAAGUACUUUCAGUCGUGAGGAAGGUGUUAAGGUUAAUAACCUUAGCAAUUGACGUUAGCGACAGAAGAAGCACCGGCUAACUCCGUGCCAGCAGCCGCGGUAAUACGGAGGGUGCGAGCGUUAAUCGGAAUUACUGGGCGUAAAGGGCACGCAGGCGGUUAAUUAAGUUGGAUGUGAAAUCCCCGGGCUUAACCUGGGAAUGGCAUUCAAGCUGGUUAGCUAGAGUCUUGUAGAGGGGGUAGAAUUCCAUGUGUAGCGGUGAAAUGCGUAGAGAUGUGGAGGAAUACCGGUGGCGAAGGCGGCCCCUGGACAAAGGACUGACGCUCAUGUGCGAAAGCGUGGGGAGCAAAC
rnacentral:rRNA from 1 species